rnacentral:rRNA from 1 species
GAUGAACGCUGGCGGCGUGCCUAAUACAUGCAAGUCGAGCGAACGGACGAGAAACUUGCUUCUCUGAUGUUAGCGGCGGACGGGUGAGUAACACGUGGAUAACCUACCUAUAAGACUGGGAUAACUUCGGGAAACCGGAGCUAAUACCGGAUAAUAUUUUGAACCGCAUGGUUCAAAAGUGAAAGACGGUCUUGCUGUCACUUAUAGAUGGAUCCGCGCUGCAUUAGCUAGUUGGUAAGGUAACGGCUUACCAAGGCAACGAUGCAUAGCCGACCUGAGAGGGUGAUCGGCCACACUGGAACUGAGACACGGUCCAGACUCCUACGGGAGGCAGCAGUAGGGAAUCUUCCGCAAUGGGCGAAAGCCUGACGGAGCAACGCCGCGUGAGUGAUGAAGGUCUUCGGAUCGUAAAAAUCUGUUAUUAGGGAAGAACAUAUGUGUAAGUAACUGUGCACAUCUUGACGGUACCUAAUCAGAAAGCCACGGCUAACUACGUG